AAAACCUGCUCAAUGCUUUAAAUUCCCACAAAGACAGGUUUGUUUCGGGGAAGGAAAUAAAGAAGAAGAAGUGUCUCUUCGGUCUUCAAGUUCGGGCUCCUCCCCCUCUGUCAUCGGACCUAUCACCUUUCAUCGCCGAACAGCCAAUCAGCAUCACCCACAGGAGAAGCCCCAUGUCACUGCCCUGCCAGCGGAGAGCGGUGGGUCCGGAGGCCCGUAAAUCAAAGCGCCGGGUCA